ACUUUUUGCAGCGGACUCAUGAAUCGGAAAGAGUGAUUUACACAUUCGGCGUUACAAAUAAUUUAUUAAAUUUAAGAAAUUUAACUAUAUUUAGUGAAUAAAAUGGCAGAUAACAAAAGCCCUGAUGAUCUUUCCACUGCGAUCCUGCGUCGCAAGGACAGGCCCAACCGUCUGAUCGUCGAGGAGGCUGUGAGCGAUGACAACUCGGUGGUCGCUUUAUCACAGGCCAAAAUGGAGCAGCUGCAACUAUUCCGCGGGGACACGGUGCUGCUCAA
rnacentral:lncRNA from 1 species